rnacentral:sRNA from 1 species
UGCAUCUGGGGCCUGUGAGGAUGAGAACCUCCGGGGGCAGGAGGUUCGACUCGAGCGAAGCGAGAGAACGUUGCGUCAGCAACGGCCCGCAGGGCGAGCCACGAAGUGGUGAGUC